AAUCCUGGAGGUGAAUUUUUUUCGUCUAUAAGUCACCAGUUUGAAUUUUCCCUUGGUGAUAAUGGAGUCUGAGAUGAGUAGAAGAUAAAUGUUCCAGCAUGCCCCAACGUUUAAGUGCAGUUUUAACAAGGGUGACUUAAGUUCUCUCUUAAUCGUUCCAAUCAAUUGUAAGUAUGCUUAUGUUUGUGCUUUAGUGGACUGACUGUGGGCAGGGUGGGCUGGAGGAAUGAUGUGUAUAAUUUUUCAGGAACAAGUCUGCUUCUAAAAUUGUCACUGGGGGUUUGGAGGGUAAGUAAACCAGUCUGUUUAAAAGUAGUUUAUUGUGACAAAAUUGGAUCUUUUGUAUUUAUUUCAUGCAUUUUCAGGUUCAUGGUUGAAAUGAUUCUGAAUAUAGUUUUAGUGGGUUGAAUAGUAAUUGGUAAAAUGUAUUGCUAGUAUGUACUCAGAUUUAGCCAGUCUUUCUCUGCUGCUUGAAUACAGUGACUUUGAGGCCUGUGGGCCUGCUUUCUUGUUAUUGUUAAUCUUCUCUCUUAAUAAGACAAUACAUGUUCAUGUAUACAAAUGAAAUACUAGAGAAAGAUGGGAGAUGGAAAGUGUCACUCAUGGACCUGAUGUCAAACUACCCCAUUCUGCUCUACAGGACCAGUACCACUGUUAAAUAUCUUGGGUGUCAUCGAGAUAAUUUGUGGAUACACAAUGAUUUCAUGUAUAUUGGUUUUAAAGAAAUGUAAUCAUAUGGUACAUACACAUGCUUCAAAGCUUUAUUAUUUCCCUUCAUUUUUAUCUUCUAGGUAUUUUUUUAGCAUAUCUAGAUUACUACCUUUUUAAUGGUCUCUUAGUAUUUUUUAAUCUUAUUUUAACAACCCAUCAAUGAGGUUUCAUUAUAUAAAACUAAACCAUGUGAUAUAAUGAAUCAAGUACUAAAACUACAUUAUUAAUUUGAAAAUAAGUAGUACUUAAUUAGUAAUGUGGAAUGAUUCCAAUGAUUGGGUUGUAAGGUUUCCUAUAUGUAUAUGGUAUUCCUGCCCUUUGCUGCAGGUCUAAUUUUGAGGGAUAAAGAUCUUUUUAGCUGGAUGUGGUGGCUUAUGCCUUUAAUCCCAGCAGUGAUGAGGCUGAUACAGAAGGAGAGGGGACUUAGGAGUACGUUCAUAGAUUUGUAUCUCAAAGAAUAAACAAAAGAACUACUAAGAAAUGGAUUGUGAUUCCUUCCAUAAUAUUGUCAGCUCUACACUUUCAUUUGACAACACAAUCAUUGUAAGAGUGUUUAGGAAUAUACUGGUCAUUUUCAACUUAGUCAUUUAGGCAGUUGUAUGUACAACUCUACAAAGUAACCUGGCUUCCUUCCCUUGAUUAUUAAGGUAAUAUACUGAUGCCCCUUGUGUUUUAAGUAUUUCCUGUUACUGGGAUUAUUUGGUUUUAGGAGUCACCUCAGCACUUAGGAGGCAGAGGCAGGCAGAUCAGGAAGUUGAGUGUAGCCAGGACAUCACAUUGAGAAACAAAAGGAACUAGAGGGUUUGGCCCAGUGGUUAACAACUGGCUGCUCUUCCAGAGGACCCAGAUUCAAUUUCCAGCACCUACAUGGCAACUUACAGCUUUCUAAAACUCCAGUCCAGGAGAACUAAUAUGCUUCCCUCUAGCACCCGGCGUGCAUGUGUUGCAUAGACUUACAUGCAAACAAAAUACCCACACUCAUGAAAAGAGAACAGAAAUAUUUUUAAAAUACAAAGGCAUUUUAUUUUUUAAAGACUUAUUUGUAUGUAUAUGUGAGUGAUUUGUCUACAUGUCUUUCUCUCCACCAUGUGCAUAUGGAGGCCAGAAGAGGAUGUCAGGUCCUUUAGAAUUGGAGUUAUAGAAGGUUGGGAGCCAGCAUGUGUGUGAUGGGGAUCAAACCUGGGUCCUGUAAAGUAGCCAGUGUUCUUAACUAUUGACCUCACUUUCCAGCACCAAUUUUUAAAUUUUUUUUUUAAUGAAAGCAAUAACCUCUACUAUCCAUUUUAAAAUAGUUGUAGUUAAGUUCUCUCUCUUUCUACUUAUUUUGUGUUGCUGAGGAUUGGAUCUAGGGCUUUGACAUGGCUAGAUGAGCACUUUACAAUAGAGCUAUAUCCUUAGCCUUUUCUUUGGUGAAGAGUACUAAGGAUUGAACCCAUGACCUCACUUGCUAAAUAAACUCAGAGUACACUCCCAGGUCCCUCACUGUUUUAUGUGUGGAGUGUGUUUAUGUGUGCUGUUAUAACCACAAGUACAGAUUUUAUACAACAUAGUUGCUAACAUAAAAAUUAAAGCAGUUUUGAGGUAUUUUAGAGGUACUCCUUGAGACAGGGUCUCUCUGUGUGUCUAGUGCUGGCCUAUAAAACUAACUUCAGUUUAUGCUAGGACAAUAUCAGCCUGCUAAGCAUUAAGCUAUGUUACACAUUUUUAAAUAAAAUACUUUAACAUUUUUGAUAUUUUUGUAUGGGGCUAAGGCAAGUGACCAAUUAAUGUAUUUUAUACUUUUUUUUAAAGUCUUUAUUUUCUGGCUAGAAAAUCUGUUGUAUAUGAUUCCAAGAAACAGGUAGCCAUAACUUUAAUCCAAUACUUACAAAGUAAUACAAACUGUAAGAACAGUCAGUUCCAGGGCAGCCAGGGGUAGUAAGAAUCUUUCUCUCCCCUCACCCCCUUUUUUGUUUUGUUUCAUUUUGUUUUUUUUUUUUGAGACAGGAUUUCUUUGUGUAGUCCUGGCUGUCCUAGAACUCGCUCUGUAUAUCAGGUUGGCCUCAAACUCAGAAAUCUUGCCUGCUGGGAUUAAAGGCAAACACGUGUUGGGCCAGACCCUGUCUCAAAAGAAAAAAAGAAACGAAGUUAUUGGAAUAUGGGUAGC
rnacentral:lncRNA from 1 species